rnacentral:lncRNA from 1 species
UCACCGACUCAUGGUAGCUCACCUCACCAGCAACCAUGAUCCUCAAAUCUCUAAUGCCCAAAACCAAAGGGCUAGUAACAUUGUCGACCGAUCGCCAUCUUCCUCGCAGCCUCACCUGGCCUCGUGUUGAAGCAAUCCUGAGCACGUUGUUGUCACUGCACGUUGCACACCUUGCCAUCAUCGAAGCCUUGCCUGAUUGGCUUGUUCUUGUCGGUAGUUGUUACUGCACGUUUCUAUUAAUUACAUUGCUUUUUUUUUGGUUAAUAAUUUGGUAUUGUGGCUAAUUGUUUGAUUGUAUUUGAUGAGUUUAAUCUAAUGUAAAUAUGUUAAAACUAGAAAAUGUUGCUGGCUUGAUUUAAUUUCCUUGCUGAUUUAAUUUAAUUUAAUUUUGCUUAAUUUUCUUUGCUGAUUUGUUUAAUUAUUUUAAUUAAAUGCAUGAAUUUUCAAUAUAAUGUAAAUGCUUGAUCUCAUUUUUUUUCUUCACAUAUGCUAACUCACUUUGCAUAUUACUUUAAUUAGGUUUCGGGAUUAGUUGAACAUGGCCGAAGGGGAGCAAGGAAAUAAUUUUUCAUUCUCUCCAAAUGGCGGCAUCAUAUGUUGGAUUCGAAGCUUGAAAUUUCCAUGGAUUUGUAGUGUUUUUAUUUGCGGAUUUUAAUGGUGGUGUGCUUGAAUUUAUGUUAUUUUUUGUUUGAUUUAUAUUGUGAUAUUUUUAUUUGUGGAUUUAUCAUGUUGUUGGAUUUUAUUUACUUAUUCAUGUUGAAUUGUUAAUUGUUAAAUUA